rnacentral:rRNA from 1 species
UUCGCAAUGCCCGAAAGGGUGACGAAGCGACGCCGCGUGCGGGAAGAAGGCCUUCGGGUUGUAAACCACUGUCGGGAGUUAAGAAAUGCAAGGAUAUUAAUAGUGUCUUUGUUUGACUAAGGCUCCGGAGGAAGCCACGGCUAACUCUGUGCCAGCAGCCGCGGUAAUACAGAGGCGGCAAGCGUUGUUCGGAAUUAUUGGGCGUAAAGAGCACGUAGGCGGCUAUGUAAGUCGGUUGUGAAAGCCUUCCGCUCAACGGAAGAACAGCAUCCGAUACUACAUGGCUUGAGUGCGGGAGGGGAGAGUGGAACUUCUGGUGGAGCGGUGAAAUGCGUAGAUAUCAGAAGGAACGCCGGCGGCGAAAGCGGCUCUCUGGCCCAUAACUGACGCUGAGUGUGCGAAAGCUAGGGGAGCAAACGGGAUUAGAUACCCCGGUAGUCCUAGCCGUAAACGAUGGGCACUAAGUAGAGGGGUUUU